CCCAGGGCUCACGCCCCGGGCUGUAGGAUGUCGCGCCUUCAGCGCU
rnacentral:sRNA from 1 species